rnacentral:rRNA from 1 species
AUACGGAGGAUCCGAGCGUUAUCCGGAUUUAUUGGGUUUAAAGGGUGCGCAGGCGGCCAUUUAAGUCAGCGGUUAAAUCGUGGGGCUCCACCCCAUUCUGCCGUUGAUACUGGGUGGCUUGAUUGCGGUCGAGGUUGGCGGAAUUCGUUGUGUAGCGGGGAAAUGCAUAGAUAUGACGAAGAACACCGAUUGCGUAGGCAGCUGACCAGACCGCAAAUGACGCUCAUGCACGAAAGUGCGGGGAUCGAACAGGAUUAGAUACCCUGGUAGUCCGCACAGUAAACGAUGAAUACUUGUUUUCGGCGAUAUAAUGUCGGAGGCAAAGCGAAAGCAUUAAGUAUUCCACCUGGGGAGUACGCCGGCAACGGUGAAACUCAAAUGAAUUGACGGGG